rnacentral:tRNA from 1 species
GUCCCUAUCGUCUAGAGGCCUAGGACAUCGGCCCUUUCACGGCGGUAACCAGGGGUUCGAAUUCCCCGUAGGGACGCCA